ACAAAAAAUCCAAGUGAAAUAAAAAUAAUAACGUAGGGGGUACUACAAGGAAGGGAGUUCCUGGUUUCCCUGCUCGACAUCACGUAGGCUAAGGGCUUCGGAUGGCAACAGCAACUUAAAACUACCGUCCAGGAAGAGUUUGCAACCAGCAGCUGCCAGCCGGAUGCGAGGUGCAGGGAAAGAAAUGGAUUAAAGUUGAGAA